CCUACGGGAGGCAGCAGUGAGGAAUAUUGGUCAAUGGACGAGAGUCUGAACCAGCCAAGCAGCGUGAAGGAAGACGGCUCUAUGGGUUGUAAACUUCUUUUAUAUGGGAGUAAAUUACAAAACGUGUACCACGUUGUAAGUAUCCUACGAAUAAGGAUCGGCUAACUCCGUGCCAGCAGCCGCGGUAAUACGGAGGAUUCAAGCGUUAUCCGGAUUUAUUGGGUUUAAAGGGCGCGUAGGUGGUUUGAUAAGUCAGGGGUGAAAGUCCGGGGCUCAACUGCAGCACUGCAGCUGAAACUGGCAGUCUAGAGUUCAGUAGCGGUAGGCGGAAUGCAUGGUGUAGCAGUGAAAUGCUUAGAGAUCAUGCAGAACACCGAUUGCGAAGGCAGCUUACUGGACUUCAACUGACGCUGAGGCACGAAAGCGUGGGGAGCAAACAGGAUUAGAUACCCCAGUAGUC
rnacentral:rRNA from 1 species